rnacentral:rRNA from 1 species
CCUACGGGUGGCAGCAGUGGGGAAUAUUGGACAAUGGGCGAAAGCCUGAUCCAGCCAUGCCGCGUGUGUGAAGAAGGCCUUCGGGUUGUAAAGUACUUUCAGUGGGGAAGAAAGCCUUGGGGCUAAUACCCUCGAGGAAGGACAUCACCCACAGAAGAAGCACCGGCUAACUCCGUGCCAGCAGCCGCGGUAAUACGGAGGGUGCGAGCGUUAAUCGGAAUUACUGGGCGUAAAGCGCGCGUAGGCGGUCUGAUAAGCCGGUUGUGAAAGCCCCGGGCUCAACCUGGGAACGGCAUCCGGAACUGUCAGGCUAGAGUGCAGGAGAGGAAGGUAGAAUUCCCGGUGUAGCGGUGAAAUGCGUAGAGAUCGGGAGGAAUACCAGUGGCGAAGGCGGCCUUCUGGACUGACACUGACGCUGAGGUGCGAAAGCGUGGGUAGCAAACAGGAUUAGAUACCCUUGUAGUC